GGCCUGGCAGGAGCGUUCGGAACCCCGGGAAGCAGAAAGGAGUGCUCCGCGUUUCCCGCGCGGGUUCUCCCGCCUCGGCUCUGAGCGGACUGGAGGGGUCAGUUGGACCACCUGCCUGCGUCGUCACGGAGGGCCCCCUGGAAAAGGCGGAGGGGCGGGGAGCUGUUGCUGCUGUGGAAAGAAUGGAUUAGGGAAAGACCAGCAUAGAAGCAGGAGACCAGUUGGGAGGCUGAUGCAGUGGUCCAGGCUUUGUGUAAGGUGCUGUGGUUACCAAGGUGAAUACCCCUAUCUGGUAGGGAAGGUGGAUGUGAACAUACGCAAAGACCGUGUGCGGCGGGGUCAGCGCUGUGACAGAGCAAGGAAUCUGGACCUCUCUACAUAGUGGCUUAGGACUCCAAGAAGAUGAAGGCUAAAGCUGCCAGGUGUCUUAGAUCCAGGCCCAGACCUAGACACCAUCACUCAUGCUGUACUCUAUUGGUCAAAAAAAGUCCCCGGGUCAACCCAGAUGCAAGGGGAACAUCCAUAGACCCCACCUCCAAGUCGGAGAAGAGGCUGUUUUUUGGUGAGGAAGAUUGGCCCUAAGCUAACAUCUUUUCCAAUCUUCCUGUUUUUAUUUUCUCCCCAAAGCCCCAGUACAUGGUUCUAUAACCUAGUUGUAAGUCCUUCUAGUUCUUCUAUGUAGGGGGCUGCCACAGCAUGGCUUGAUGAGUGGUGUGUAGGUCCACACCCAGGAUCCCAACCAGUGAACCCCAGGCCACCAAAGCAGAGCAUGCAAACUUAACCACUAUGCCACUGGGCUGGCCCCUGUUCUUUAUUAUUUUAAUCAAAUUUAGAAGGAAAAUUUAGCCAAGCCCAAAUGGAAAAAUGGUUUGUUAAAAAAGAAAAGCCACAAAAUAAAUACCAGAGACUAAAUUUCAGGGCCUUUAAAAGUACAAGUGCUUAAGCUGCCGCCUGAAGAUUCUCAUUCAGAGGGUCCCAGGUAUUUCUAUUUUUUCAGACCUCCACAAAUAAUUUUGAUGUUCAGCAGGGUGAGACCCACUGAGAUAGACAUUCAUCAUUAUCCUGUCAAAUGAUCUAAUAAACACUCUGUCUGAUCAGAAAUAGCAGUACAAAGAAAACUUCCAUAAUUAGAAUUUUUUUACCCUAAUAAAAUAUGUUCCUACUUGUGGGUUUUUCCAUUUCCAUUUAUUUAGCUGUACUCUGACAAAUUUGUAGCCUUUGUACGUAAUCCAGAACACAGAAAGGACAGCUUUUGAUAAAUACGUGUGGUUCUGUACAAUGUAAGGAAAAAAUAUGGCAUAGGAGUGAUAGCCAGGGGUUAGCAGGAAGAGGAAUAAAAGCAGAAAAAAAUGUCAUCUGCAUGUCACUCAAAAAGUAUUGAUGGAAUUAUAAGGAUGAUCUCCCACUGUGACCAGCUGUGGCCCUUUCCUAAGGAAUAGAAGUCUCAAAUAGUCUCAUGAGAUUAAUAUGCAUAUUUUUCUUUCUUUUAUAAUGCUGGCAUUGAGUCAUAGGGAGUUAUUGUUAAAGACUAAAGAGUAGAAAGAAAAAGCCAAAUAGAGCCUUGUCCUACCCAGCUUAGCUUCCAAAGAAUAUAAUGAAAAAGAUGGUCGAUUCUUUGAAAAAGUAUUGGCGUUAACUAGUUUUCAUGAUGACUAUGUUUCGAGACCAUCAUUUCCCAAAGUGUGCUCUUUAUAAAAAAUAGUUCCUCAGAAGGCUAGAGGUAUUACUUGAAGGGGUUCCUUGAUGAAGUACAUUUGUAUUGCAGGAUUUAACCGAGGUAGAGAGGUUUCUUUGAAGGACUUCUCAGGGCCUUUGUGAAUUGCCAAGAAAAGAAUAUAAUAUGAAAUAUGAAAACCUUCUCUUGGUUGAUGGAACAUACUUUGCAAAACACUUCCAUAGACCAUGUGAUUUCCAGUAAGAGCUAAAUAAAUGUUACUUAUUAAAGCAGGGAAAAAUUAAUACUGGGUAUUAUGGUCCUAAAUUUACAUUACUUAAUUUGUAUUUGUCACCUAAGGAAAAUUAACUUUCAUGUGAAAAUUAUGAGAUAAUAUAUAGAAAAUUCAACAGCCUCUCCAGACAAACCCUUAGAACUAAUGAGAAAGUUCAUUAAAGUUUCCAGACAUAAGAUCUUUGCCGAAA
ensembl:lncRNA